rnacentral:rRNA from 1 species
AGUCGAGCGGGCGUAGCAAUACGUCAGCGGCAGACGGGUGAGUAACGCGUGGGAACGUACCUUUUGGUUCGGAACAACACAGGGAAACUUGUGCUAAUACCGGAUAAGCCCUUACGGGGAAAGAUUUAUCGCCGAAAGAUCGGCCCGCGUCUGAUUAGCUAGUUGGUGAGGUAAUGGCUCACCAAGGCGACGAUCAGUAGCUGGUCUGAGAGGAUGAUCAGCCACAUUGGGACUGAGACACGGCCCAAACUCCUACGGGAGGCAGCAGUGGGGAAUAUUGGACAAUGGGGGCAACCCUGAUCCAGCCAUGCCGCGUGAGUGAUGAAGGCCCUAGGGUUGUAAAGCUCUUUUGUGCGGGAAGAUAAUGACGGUACCGCAAGAAUAAGCCCCGGCUAACUUCGUGCCAGCAGCCGCGGUAAUACGAAGGGGGCUAGCGUUGCUCGGAAUCACUGGGCGUAAAGGGUGCGUAGGCGGGUCUUUAAGUCAGGGGUGAAAUCCUGGAGCUCAACUCCAGAACUGCCUUUGAUACUGAGGAUCUUGAGUUCGGGAGAGGUGAGUGGAACUGCGAGUGUAGAGGUGAAAUUCGUAGAUAUUCGCAAGAACACCAGUGGGCGAAAGCGGCUCA